AACGAACGCUGGCGGCAGGCCUAACACAUGCAAGUCGAGCGCACCUUCGGGUGAGCGGCGGACGGGUUAGUAACGCGUGGGAACGUGCCCUUCUCUACGGAAUAGCCUCUGGAAACGGAGAGUAAUACCGUAUACGCCCUUUGGGGGAAAGAUUUAUCGGAGAAGGAUCGGCCCGCGUUAGAUUAGGUAGUUGGUGGGGUAACGGCCUACCAAGCCUACGAUCUAUGGCUGGUUUUAGAGGAUGAUCAGCAACACUGGGACUGAGACACGGCCCAGACUCCUACGGGAGGCAGCAGUGGGGAAUCUUAGACAAUGGGGGCAACCCUGAUCUAGCCAUGCCGCGUGAGUGAUGAAGGCCUUAGGGUCGUAAAGCUCUUUCGCCUGUGAUGAUAAUGACAGUAGCAGGUAAAGAAACCCCGGCUAACUCCGUG
rnacentral:rRNA from 1 species